rnacentral:lncRNA from 1 species
UGAUUAUAUUACACAUCUCAAACUUAACUGAGAGCCUCCAUAUAAUAUGUAUAAAUAUUUGGGAAGGAAACUUGGGAGAAGUUUGUCAAGUCUCACGAAACUCCUGAAUUCUUGCCUAAGAGACAAAGAAGAAAUGAGAAUAGUGCAAGAAAUGCCUAUCCACAUAGAUUAUCUUGUGGAGGAUAUAUGAUAAACUGGAAUAGAUAAUGAUUAAAUAAAAAAGAAAAAAAUAACUAAAGCUGAGAGAUCCUUUAAAAGCC